rnacentral:rRNA from 1 species
AACGAACGCUGGCGGCAUGCCUAACACAUGCAAGUCGAGCGCGCCCUUCGGGGUGAUCGGCCGACGGGGGUGUAACGCGUGGGAACGUGCCCUUUUCUACGGAAUAGCUUCGGGAAACUGAUAGUAAUACCGUAUACGCCCUUUGGGGGAAAGAUUUAUCGGAAAAGGAUCGGCCCGCGUUGGAUUAGGUAGUUGGUUGGGUAAUGGCCUACCAAGCCGACGAUCCAUAGCUGGUUUGAGAGGAUGAUCAGCCACACUGGGACUGAGACACGGCCCAGACUCCUACGGGAGGCAGCAGUGGGGAAUCUUAGACAAUGGGGGCAACCCUGAUCUAGCCAUGCCGCGUGAGUGAUGAAGGCCUUAGGGUUGUAAAGCUCUUUCAGCUGGGAAGAUAAUGACGGUACCAGCAGAAGAAGCCCCGGCUAACUACGUG